GGGUUUGGUUCAAAUUUUGGGUUACGAAUGUUCGCAAUAGACAUUGCACGUGCGCACCUUAACAAAAAAUCUCGCGGAAAUCUUGGAAGUGGAACGUUGAUAACUUCCUCUACAAGAUCUUUAUUCUGUUUAUUCGUUUUAUUCUUUGGGGGUAAAGAACGACUUCAUGUUAUUUUAAGACGAACUAUGUAUCGUUUAAACACAAAUAUCUUGCUGUUUCUGGUUAGCAAAUUGACCAAAAACAAAAAGUAAUUUCCCCCAAAAUCACUUUAUAGCGCUGUUUGUUGUGCACACGCUCUUCUCUCUUCUCUCUCUCUCUCUCGUUUUCACAUCGCUUGGGUGGAGACUCCUCUGAUUCCGUCGGCGGCAGCAGACGGUGUUGAGUUCUCCCACCCCUAUCUCAUUUUCCUUCAGAUCUGCGCUCAAAUCGACGUUUAGAACUUCAAUAUCGGUUUCUGGAGGCAUUAUCUUCUUCCUUCUCGGUCAAUCGGCUUGGCCUCCUGUCACAGAAGCCUUUAAGAAAGCUCGGGAUCCUGGUAGUUUGUCGGAAUCCAAGGUCAUGGCGCUCCGUUUUGAGGACGGCGGGGACAUAACCGGAAUCCGCUAGUCAGCUAUUAGGAUCUAGGGUUUGUCACGGUUGUGAGGGAGACUUCGUUGGCGGCAGACCAACUUAGAGGAUGGCGGUUUCUCAAGGUUUGUGUCUUGUCUGUCGUGGUGUCUCCUCUCCGCCAAGAUUUGUGUGGGAAGAGGUGUGAGACUCUUGGAUUUGAAUAACAAAAAGCGUCACGAGGUGAUUCAGCGGAGGCUAGGGUUACGUGAGUCGGAUCUCUUUCGAUUUCGGCGUUGGCGCCGCGGGACCACUCCGACGGUGUACAUAUCCGAUGGCGAGUGUUGACGGAACAGGGGAUUGGUUUGGAAACCUAGUCCCAUGAAUUCACGAUUGUCCGGUUGACUGUUGCUGGUGUUCAUUGGAGAAGGAUGCUUCGCGUCCUCCAGUCUUCUUCCCACACCGUAUCUCUAGUUUGUUUUUUUUUGCUCGGUUGUUUACUUUCUAUUUAUCUCAUGUAACCUAGAUCUUUAUUUCUCCGGUCACUGGAAUUUUGUAGAUCUCAUCGGAUCCCUUUUUUAAGAAGGUAAAUGAUAAUAUAUAUUUUAACUAAAGUUAUAUGAAUUAUCCAAAUUUUAUCCAUAAC
rnacentral:lncRNA from 1 species